GUCCACGCCGUAACGAUGGAUGCUAGCCGUUGGUAAGCAUGCUUAUCAGUGGCGCAGCUAACGCAUUAAGCAUCCCGCCUGGGAGUACGGCCGCAAGGUUGAACUCAAAGGAAUUGACGGGGCCCGCACAAGCGGUGGAGCAUGUGGUUUAAUUCGACGCAACGCGCAGAACCUUACCAGGCCUUGACAUCCCGUGCUAAGCCCAGAGAUGGGUGGUCCCCGCAAGGGGCGCGGAGACAGGUGCUGCAUGGCUGUCGU
rnacentral:rRNA from 1 species